rnacentral:rRNA from 1 species
UACGGAGGGUGCAAGCGUUAAUCGGAAUUACUGGGCGUAAAGCGCACGUAGGUGGCCAACUAAGUCAGACGUGAAAUCCCUCGGCUUAACCGGGGAAUUGCGUCUGAUACUGGAUGGCUAGAGAUUGGGAGAGGGAUGCGGAAUUCCAGGUGUAGCGGUGAAAUGCGUAGAUAUCUGGAGGAACACCGGUGGCGAAGGCGGCAUCCUGGACCAACACUGACACUGAAAAGCGAAAGCCAGGGGAGCAAACGGG